rnacentral:rRNA from 1 species
GCCUAACACAUGCAAGUCGAACGGUAACAGGAAGCAGCUUGCUGCUUCGCUGACGAGUGGCGGACGGGUGAGUAAUGUCUGGGAAACUGCCUGAUGGAGGGGGAUAACUACUGGAAACGGUAGCUAAUACCGCAUAACGUCGCAAGACCAAAGAGGGGGACCUUCGGGCCUCUUGCCAUCGGAUGUGCCCAGAUGGGAUUAGCUAGUAGGUGGGGUAACGGCUCACCUAGGCGACGAUCCCUAGCUGGUCUGAGAGGAUGACCAGCCACACUGGAACUGAGACACGGUCCAGACUYCUACGGGAGGCAGCAGUGGGGAAUAUUGCACAAUGGGCGCAAGCCUGAUGCAGCCAUGCCGCGUGUAUGAAGAAGGCCUUCGGGUUGUAAAGUACUUUCAGCGGGGAGGAAGGCGAUAAGGUUAAUAACCUUGUCGAUUGACGUUACCCGCAGAAGAAGCACCGGCUAACUCCGUGCCAGCAGCCGCGGUAAUACGGAGGGUGCAAGCGUUAAUCGGAAUUACUGGGCGUAAAGCGCACGCAGGCGGUCUGUCAAGUCGGAUGUGAAAUCCCCGGGCUCAACCUGGGAACUGCAUUCGAAACUGGCAGGCUAGAGUCUUGUAGAGGGGGGUAGAAUUCCAGGUGUAGCGGUGAAAUGCGUAGAGAUCUGGAGGAAUACCGGUGGCGAAGGCGGGCCCCCUGGACAAAGACUGACGCUCAGGU